ACGGAAGGCAGCAGUGGGGAGUAUUGGGCAAUGGGCGAAAGCCUGACCCAGCAACGCCGCGUGAAGGAAGAAGGUCUUCGGAUUGUAAACUUCUUUUAUGAGGGACGAAGGACGUGACGGUACCUCAUGAAUAAGCCACGGCUAACUACGUGCCAGCAGCCGCGGUAAUACGUAGGUGGCAAGCGUUAUCCGGAUUUACUGGGUGUAAAGGGCGCGUAGGCGGGGAGACAAGUCAGGUGUGAAAUCUAUGGGCUUAACCCAUAAACUGCAUUUGAAACUGUAUCUCUUGAGUGCUGGAGAGGUAGAUGGAAUUCCUUGUGUAGCGGUGAAAUGCGUAGAUAUAAGGAAGAACACCAGUGGCGAAGGCGAGCUACUGGACAGUAACUGACGCUGAGGCGCGAAAGAGUGGGGAGCAAACAGGAUUAGAUACCCUGGUA
rnacentral:rRNA from 1 species